GUCGCCAGAGGAGGUUUGUUCCCCUCAUAAAGAGAUCACUGCUUCAUGAUGUAAUAAAUAAAGUGUUUUUGUUCCUCCAAGGGGGAGGAGCCAGACACCAGCAACCUGGAGGUGGACCACCAGUUCUUUGAGGACAAGAUCUGGCCCAGCUUGGCCUCCCUGCCCAGCCUUCGAGAAGCUGAAGGUGACGAGUGCGUGGGCCGGUUACUACGACUACAACACCUUCGACCAGAACGGCAUCAUCGGGAUGCACCCGCUGAUCAACAACAUGUACUUCGCCACCGGCUUCAGCGGCCACGGCCUGCAGCACGCGCCCGCCGUGGGCCGCUCCGUGGCCGAGCUGAUCCUGGACGGGAACUUCACCACGCUGAACCUGAGCAGCCUCGGCUUCCAGCGCAUCCUGGCCCGGGAGCCCAGGCUGGAGAGGAACAUCGUGUAGGAGCCGGUCUUUUUCUAGUGACAUUGAACGCACCGGAUGAAGAACUCUGACCUGUGGUGAUCGACUGGAUCAGUCUCUGGUUUCUCCGGUCUUGCUGGUGUGACUGGAACAAAACACGCUUAUCACUACUACACUACAUUACAUUUAGCUUGUAACCAAAAGGCUGUGUCCGGCUUCCUGUCCUCUUGACUUUAAACAUCUUGAGAAAGUGGCAAAUAAAAUGUAUGUUUUUAAAUAUUUGUGGUAUUAGUGAUAUUUAAUUAGCGCUGGCAGCCGGAACCAGACGACGGUGAAGAGAAAUGAAGCUAUUAGACCGUUGACAUGACGACACGUGCAAAUUAAUACAACAAGAAAACGUAUGAAACCCCAAGAAAAGACUAAAGUAAUGUUUAAGGUGAUGUAUAACUGCAUAGUAUCUUAAUUAUUAAAAAUAAAAGGGAUUUAAAUACACUUCAUGCAAUUGGCCUAAUUUAACAUAGUACAUGUCAUAUAAUUGGAAACAUUAAUGUGUGACCAUUACCGUGUACUCCUUUCUCUUUUUUAAUCUAUGAUAAUAAAAAUAAUUGUUUAAUUCUUUAA